CCCAGCCAAGACUGUGGUGGUGGUUCAGUCCAGACUCUGUUAGCUGAAAAGCAGUGAGGAGCAAAAGUGUCUUGUGCUGCACGGGAAAAUAGAAUGGGGCGUAAUCCAACCCUGAUCGUUUUCCUGGGCUUUACCAUCUAUCUGAUGGGUUUGUUCCCAGUCACUUACUGCUCAGUCUUCUCCAAUGCCUUUGCACCAGUGGAAAGCCAGACCAUGAUUCUCACUGCAAAGAGUGGACAGCAAGAGGGAAACAGUCCAUCAGCAGUCACAGGUUGGGAGGAAAUGGAGGAGACUUUUGUGGCUUCAUCAACAGGGGAAGGAAUGGAGGUGAUCGAUAUGGUGCAGUCUGAGGACUCAGAGACACUGAGCAAUUCAGCAGAUCUGCUGUUGGAUCUGGCUCUUUCCCUGAAGAUUGGCAGCAUUGUGCUCUUUUUUUUAUGCAUGACAUAGAGCAUGAAAUCAUUUCUGUGAUCGUGGAUGAUAACAAUUUGAGCGUCUAGCUGUGUUUCGUGGUCACUUUCUGGACAAUACGGCUCCUCUUCAUCAACCACAUGCCAGGGAACACAGAAGACAAAGGCAGAGACCUUGUGCGUGUAUUGAAAGUUGUUUUCUUUCUCCUUGAGAAACACAAUAAAUUCUCA